UACGGGGGGAGCAAGCGUUGUUCGGAUUUACUGGGCGUAAAGGGCGCGUAGGCGGCCACCGCAAGUCGACUGUGAAAUCUCCGGGCUUAACUCGGAAAGGUCAGCCGAUACUGCGGGGCUAGAGUGCAGAAGGGGCAACUGGAAUUCUCGGUGUAGCGGUGAAAUGCGUAGAUAUCGAGAGGAACACCUGCGGCGAAGGCGGCAUCCUGGACCAUUACUGACGCUGAGUGAGCGAAAGCCAGGGGAGCAAACGGG
rnacentral:rRNA from 1 species